GACUCGGUGGCGGCUGGACUGCGUCUGCGAUUGCUAUGUGCAUGAGGAAAAUAAUUUCAGCAGAAGGUGCCUGUUCGAAUCAGGCUCGAGUCA